UAUGCCGAGGUCGCAUGUACUUUGGUAAUUAAAGCAGCAAUGCACUUAGAGAUGAGUGUGCGUCCCUAUUAGGUAGUUGGUGAGGUAACGGCUCACCAAGCCUAUGAUGGUAGCCGGUCUGAGAGGAUGGUCGGCCACACGGGCACUGAGACACGGGCCCGACUCCUACGGGAGGCAGCAGUAAGGAAUAUUGGUCAAUGGUGGAAACACUGAACCAGCCAUGCCGCGUGGAGGAAUAAGGUCCUACGGAUUGUAAACUCCUUUUGACGAGGAAGAAAGUGUUAGAUUUAUCUAAUUUUGACGGUACUCGUAGAAUAAGCACCGGCUAACUCCGUG
rnacentral:rRNA from 1 species